rnacentral:rRNA from 1 species
GAUCAAGCUACUAAGAGUACAUGGAGGAUGUCUUGGUGCCAAGGGAUGACGAAGGACGUGGAAGGCUGCGAUAAGCUUCGGGGAACUGCCAAGCAAGUGGUGAUCCGAAGAUUUCCGAAUGGGGAAACCCACCGUAGAGGCAAGCAAUUGCCUCUUUGGGUCAUACCACGGUAUUAGUAUCUGAAUAUAUAGGGUACUAAGGAUAACGGGGAGAAGUGAAACAUCUCAGUAACCCCAGGAAAAGAAAGAAAAAUCGAUUUCCCCAGUAGCGGCGAGCGAAAAGGAAAGAGCCCAAACCCGGUGUACGUAAUAGCCCUUAUGCGUUGUAUACCGUGGGGUCGCGGGAUUUGCAUGUGAUAAAAGUAAGGUUUUGUCAGGAGAGUCAAAAAGGUAAUUUUUAGUCGAGUAGUGCAGGAAAGCCUAACCAUAGAGGGUGAAAGUCCCGUAGGCGAAAAAAAUUACUCUCUCUCUUGCAAAUUCCCAAGUAACACCGGUCUCGUGAAAGCCGGUGUGAAUUAAGGAGGCCCAUCUCCUAAGGCUAAAUACUACUUGGCAACCGAUAGCGCACAAGUAGCGCGAGCGAAAGAUGAAAAGCACCCCUGUUAGGGGAGUGAAAUAGAACCUGAAAUCAUGUACUUACAAGCGGUGGGAGCACUAUGACAGUCAGUAACCUCGCCUUGGCGGGGCAGCUGGAAAAGGUUUAGAGCCUUGUGCUGUAAUCCUUUGAAGGCGUUAAAUUGACUGUAAUGUGUGACCGCGUGCCUUUUGCAGAAUGAACCGUCGAGUUGCUGUGCACUGCUGGUUAAGUGUCUACGACACGGAGCCUGAGCGAAAGCGAGUGUGAAAUGCGCAAAAAUGGUAGUGUAUAGCAGAUCCGAAACCGGGUGAUCUACCCUUGGUCAGGAUGAAGCGGAUGUAACAAUCCGUGGAGGUCCGAACUCAUUUACGUUGAAAAGUGAUGGGAUGAACUGAGGGGAGGAGUAAAAGUCUAAUCAAACUCGGAGAUAGCUGAUUCUCCCCGAAAUAGCUUUAGGGCUAGCCUCACGCCAAUAUACAGUAGGGGUAGAGUACUGAAUGAGUUUUUGGGGCCCACCAGGCUACCAAACCCAAUCAAACUCCGAAUACUACUGCAUGUAUCGUGAGAGUCAGACUAUGGGGGAUAAACUCCAUUGUCAAAAGGGAAACAGCCCAGAUCGUCGGCUAAGGCCCCUAAAAUAAGCUAAGUGAAAAAGGAAGUGAGAGUGCUAAGACAGUUAGGAUGUUGGCUUAGAAGCAGCCAUCAUUUAAAAAGUGCGUAAUAGCUUACUAACCGAGCAUUCUUGCGCCGAAAAUGACCGGGACUAAGCUUAUUGCCGAAGCCACGGAUUCAUAAACGUCUGCGGAUUUUUAUGAGUGGUAGGGGAGCGUUCUACGAUAGGUUGAAGCCUCACCGUAAGGAGGGGUGGACGAGGUAGAAGUGAGAAUGACGGUAUAAGUAGCGAGAAUAUGAGUGGGAAGCUCAUUCGCCGAAAACCUAAGGUUUCCUGGGGAAGGUGAAUCCGCCCAGGGUCAGCCGGAGCCUAAGUCGAGGCUGAAAGGCGUAGACGAUGGACAACAGGUUAAUAUCCCUGUGCCACUAUCCAGCGUUUGAGCAUGGGGGGACAAAGGUAUGAAAGUUAGCAGGUCUAUUAGACACGGCCUGUUUAAGCCUGAGGUGUCGCUCCAGGAAAAUCCGGAGCAAUACGGCACCGGAGGUGAAUACGUUGGCUUUGUGCCGAGAAGUAACUGGAUUAUCUUUCAAGAAAAGCCCCGUUUGCAAGCUGGAAUAGUGUCCGUACUAAAACUGACACAGGUAGGUGAGGAGAAUAUCCUAAGGCGCUCGAGAGAACUAUUGUUAAGGAACUCGGCAAAAUCACUCCGUAACUUCGGGAAAAGGAGUGCCCUUUUGAGUGCUGCAGCCGCAAGGCUGUGGUGUCCGAAGGGGCCGCAGAGAAGAGGCCCUGGCGACUGUUUACUAAAAACACAAGUCUGUGCAAAGACCUAUAGUCAACAUAUACAGACUGACGCGUGCUCGAUGCCAGAAAGUUAAGGGAAUCGGUCAUUUCACCUUCGGGUGGGAGAAGCUGUGAACCGAAGCUCUGGUGAAUGGCGGCUCUAACUAUGAGAGUCCUAAGGUAGCGAAGUUCCUUGUCGGGUAAAUUCCGACGCGCAUGAAACGCGUAACGACUUGGGUACUGUCUCAACAAUAGACUCGGCGAAAUUGUAGUCGUGGUGAAGAUGCCACGUACCCGCAACAAGACGGAAAGACCCCGUGAACCUUUACUGUAGCCUAUUAUUGGAUUUUGGCUUAGUAUGUGUAGGAUAGGUGGGAGACUGAGAAGCAGGGGCGCUAGCCCCUGUGGAGUCGCCGUUGAAAUACCACUCUUACUACGUUAAAGUUCUAACUGAACGCCGUGAAUCCGGGUUCGGGACAGUGGUAGGUGGGCAGUUUGACUGGGGCGGUCUCCUCCUAAAGAGUAACGGAGGAGUCCUAAGGCUUCCUCAGUGCGCUUGGCAACCGCACGUAGAGCGUAAGGGCAGAAGGAAGCUUAACUGCGAGACCCAUUAAGUCGAGCAGAUGUGAAAGCAGGGCCUAGUGAUCCGGCGGAUUCCGAGUGGAAGGGCCGUCGCUCAACAGAUAAAAGGUACUCCGGGGAUAACAGGCUGAUCUCCUCCGAGCGUCCAUAGCGGCGAGGAGGUUUGGCACCUCGAUGUCGGCUCAUCGCAUCCUGGGGCUGGAGAAGGUCCCAAGGGUUUGGGAGUUCACCAAUUAAAGCGGUACGCGAGCUGGGUUUAGACCGUCGUGAGACAGGUCGGUCCCUAUCUGUUGUGGGUGUGCGAUAUUUGCGGAGGGCUGUCCCCAGUACGAGAGGACCGGGAUGGACGAACCCCUGGUGCACCAGUUGUCGUGCUAACGGCACCGCUGGGUAGCUAUGUUCGGUAUGAUUAAACGCUGAAAGCAUAUAAGCGUGAAAUCUGCUCCAAAAAUAGAUAUCGAUUCCCGCCUUAAAACGGGAGAGAGACACCUUGUAGACUACGAGGUUGAUAGGCCAGAGGUGUAAGUGCAGUAAUGUAUUUAGCUGACUGGUACUAAUUUGUCAAAUAGCUUGAUCGC